GUAGGUGAACCUGCGGAAGGAUCAUUAGUGAAUACUAGGGAGUCUACUUCGGUAGAUCCUGACCCCCACUUUCUUAACACUGUGCACUAUUUGGCGGGAGAUUAUAACGUUAUCGGAGAGAGGAAGUCAAACACUUCUUUCCUUUAAUUGUUACUCUUUCCUGCGGCUUACUUUAAAACACUAGUUUAAUGUAUGUAAUAUAAAAAAAAAAAAAACUUUCAACAACGGAUCUCUUGGCUCUC
rnacentral:misc_RNA from 1 species